rnacentral:tRNA from 1 species
GGAUGGGUGGCCGAGCGGUUUAAGGCGCACGCCUGGAAAGCGUGUGGGCCCGAAAGGGUCUCGCGGGUUCGAAUCCCGCCCCAUCCG